ACAAAUGCAAUGCCCGUGACAACACAGUAAUCCUAUAAAGGUAUGCCACUGUACGUUCACGGGCUUCUAUUCUUAUUGUUUUGCACACCUCCCCGCCCUUUUUUUUUUUAUAUAACAGCCCCAUGCAUUUCAUCCAACCUCACAGAGCAAGCAAAAGAAACAGAGUUCAAAAAAUCCUAUAAUAUGGAGGCAUAUCAGAAGGUUGCGAUUUCGAUGCUGCUUUUUGUGGCCAUAAGCAGUAACGUUAUCGAGGUGUUGAAUGCACAAACCAUAUGCAACAUGUCCGGUGCGGGUCUGAUGGCAUGCAAGCCAGCCGCUACACCCCCGACCCCACCACCUCCCUCGUCCGCCUGUUGUUCUGCGCUCUCACACGCAGACUUGCGCUGCCUUUGCUCCUACGCCGUAAGGUAUUUCCUUUUCCUCUUCAAUCUGUCGAGUUUGUAGCCUUCUAAUGACCUUAUAAAUUUCAGUACAAGACAAAAUUGUGAUUUGAUCACGGGAAAUAAUCAAAUUUUUAAUUCAUUCUCAAUUUGAUACAACGAUAAUGUUUCUGAAAUUGACUUCUCAGGGACUCUCACACCACAAAUGCAAUGCCCGUGAGAACACAGUAAUCCUAUAAAGGUAUGCCACUGUACAUUCACGGGCUUCUAUUCUUAUUGUUUUGCAUACCUCCCCGCCCCUUUUUUUUAUAUAACAGCCCCAUUCAUUUCAUCCAACCUCACAGAGCAAGCAAAAGAAACAGAGUUCAAAAAAUCCUAUAAUAUGGAGGCAUAUCAGAAGGUUGCGAUUUCGAUGCUGCUUUUUGUAGCCAUAAGCAGUAACGUUAUCGAGGUGUUGAAUGCACAAACCAUAUGCAACAUGUCUGGUGCGGGUCUGAUGGCAUGCAAGCCAGCAGCUACACCCCCGACCCCACCACCUCCCUCGUCCGCCUGUUGUUCUGCGCUCUCACACGCAGACUUGCGCUGCCUUUGCUCCUACAAGAACUCCAAAUUGUUGCCGUCCCUGGGAGUCGACCCAAAUCUUGCCAUGCAGCUGCCGGCUAAGUGCAAACUUCCUCAUCCAGCAA
rnacentral:lncRNA from 1 species